AGUGAACGCUGGCGGUAGGCCUAACACAUGCAAGUCGAACGGCAGCACAGGAGAGCUUGCUCUCUGGGUGGCGAGUGGCGGACGGGUGAGGAAUACAUCGGAAUCUACUUUUUCGUGGGGGAUAACGUAGGGAAACUUACGCUAAUACCGCAUACGACCUACGGGUGAAAGCAGGGGAUCUUCGGACCUUGCGCGAUUGAAUGAGCCGAUGGCGGAUUAGCUAGUUGGCGGGGUAAAGGCCCACCAAGGCGACGCUCCGUAGCUGGUCGGAGAUGAUGAUCCGCCACACUGGAACUGCGACACGGUCCAGACUCCUACGGGAGGCAGCAGUGGGGAAUAUUGGACAAUGGGCGCAGGCCUGAUCCAGCCAUAGCGCGUGGGUGAAGAAGGCCUUCGGGUUGUAAGCCCUUUUGUUGGGAAAGAAAUCCAGCUGGUUAAUACCCGGUUGGGAUGACGGUACCCAAAGAAUAAGCACCGGCUAACUUCGUGCCAGCAGCCGCCGCCGUAA
rnacentral:rRNA from 1 species